GACGAACGCUGGCGGUGUGCUUAACACAUGCAAGUCGAACGGUAAGGCCCUUUCGGGGGUACACGAGUGGCGAACGGGUGAGUAACACGUGAGUAACCUGCCCUCAUCCCUGGGAUAACAGUCGGAAACGGUUGCUAAUACUGGAUAUGAGCUUGCAAGGCAUCUUGUGGGUUGGAAAGAUUUUUUUUGGUUGGGGAUGGACUCGCGGCCUAUCAGCUUGUUGGUGAGGUAGUGGCUCACCAAGGCUUCGACGGGUAGCCGGCCUGAGAGGGCGACCGGCCACAUUGGGACUGAGAUACGGCCCAGACUCCUACGGGAGGCAGCAGUGGGGAAUAUUGCACAAUGGACGGAAGUCUGAUGCAGCAACGCCGCGUGCGGGAUGACGGCCUUCGGGUUGUAAACCGCUUUCAAUUGUGACGAAGCUUUUUUGUGACGGUAGCAGUAGAAGAAGCACCGGCUAACUACGUG
rnacentral:rRNA from 1 species